CGUUACCUACGGGACGCAGCAGUGGGGAAUCUUCCGCAAUGGGCGCAAGCCUGACGGAGCAACGCCGCGUGAAUGAAGAAGGUCUUCGGAUUGUAAACUGCUUUAGACAGGGAAGAAAGAAAUGACGGUACCUGUAGAAUAAGCUCCGGCUAACUACGUGCCAGCAGCCGCGGUAAUACGUAGGGAGCAAGCGUUAUCCGGAUUUAUUGGGUGUAAAGGGUGCGUAGACGGGUAUACAAGUUAGUAGUGAAAUCCCUCGGCUUAACUGAGGAACUGCUACUAAAACUAUAUAUCUUGAGUACUGG
rnacentral:rRNA from 1 species